rnacentral:rRNA from 1 species
GACGAACGCCGGCGGCGUGCUUAACACAUGCAAGUCGAGCGGUAAGGCCCCUUCGGGGGUACACGAGCGGCGAAACGGGUGAGUAACACGUGAGUAAUCUGCCCUUUACUUUCGGGAUAACCGCCGGAAAACGGUGGCUAAUACCGGAUACGACGCGCUUUCGCAUGAGAUGCGCGUGGAAAGUCUUCUCGGUGAAGGAUGUGCUCGCGGCCUAUCAGCUAGUUGGUGAGGUAACGGCCCACCAAGGCUUCGACGGGUAGCCGGCCUGAGAGGGUGACCGGCCACACUGGGACUGAGACACGGCCCAGAACUCCUACGGGAGGCAGCAGUGGGGAAUAUUGGACAAUGGGCGAAAGCCUGAUCCAGCAACGCCGCGUGAGGGAUGACGGCCUUCGGGUUGUAAACCUCUUUCAGUACCGACGAAGCGCCAAUAACGGUGGUGACGGUAGGUACAGAAGAAGGACCGGCCAACUACGUGCCAGCAGCCGCGGUAAUACGUAGGGUCCGAGCGUUGUCCGGAAUUAUUGGGCGUAAAGGGCUCGUAGGCGGUCUGUUGCGUCGGGAGUGAAAACUUACAGCUUAACUGUGAGCGUGCUUCCGAUACGGGCAGACUUGAGGUAUUCAGGGGAGAACGGAAUUCCUGGUGUAGCGGUGAAAUGCGCAGAUAUCAGGAGGAACACCGGUGGCGAAGGCGGUUCUCUGGGAAUAUCCUGACGCUGAGGAGCGAAAGUGUGGGGAGCGAACAGGAUUAGAUACCCUGGUAGUCCACACCGUAAACGUUGGGCGCUAGGUGUGGGAUCCAUUCCACGGGUUCCGUGCCGCAGCUAACGCAUUAAGCGCCCCGCCUGGGGAGUACGGCCGCAAGGCUAAAACUCAAAGGAAUUGACGGGGGCCCGCACAAGCGGCGGAGCAUGCGGAUUAAUUCGAUGCAACGCGAAGAACCUUACCUGGGUUUGACAUAUGCCGGAAAGCUCCAGAGAUGGAGCCCCUUUUGUCGGUAUACAGGUGGUGCAUGGCUGUCGUCAGCUCGUGUCGUGAGAUGUUGGGUUAAGUCCCGCAACGAGCGCAACCCUCGUCCUAUGUUGCCAGCGGGUAAUGCCGGGGACUCAUAGGAGACUGCCGGGGUCAACUCGGAGGAAGGUGGGGAUGACGUCAAGUCAUCAUGCCCCUUACGUCCAGGGCUUCACGCAUGCUACAAUGGCCGGUACAAAGGGCUGCGAUAUCGCAAGAUGGAGCGAAUCCCAAAAAGCCGGUCUCAGUUCGGAUUGGGGUCUGCAACUCGACCCCAUGAAGUCGGAGUCGCUAGUAAUCGCAGAUCAGCAACGCUGCGGUGAAUACGUUCCCGGGCCU